GAUUUGGUUAAGAUUUAUUUAGAAUUUGAUUAGAAUUUGAUUAGAAUUUGGUUAAGAUUUGUUAGAAUUUGACUAGGAUUUAUUUAGGAUUUGAUUAAGAUUUGUUUAGGUUUUAUUUAAGAUUUUAUUAGAAUUUGAUUAGGAUUUUAUUAGGAUUUUUUUAGGAUUUAAUUAAGGUUUGACUAAGAUUUGGUAAAAGUUUGUUUAGAAUUUGAUAAGGAUUUGGUUAAGAUUUGAUUAGGAUUUGUUUGGAAUUUAUUUAAGAUUUGAUUAGGAUUUUUUUAGGAUUUGUUUAGGAUUUCAUUAGAAUUUUUUUAGGAUUUAUUUAGAAUUUUUUCAGAAUUUGGUUAAGAUUUGUUUAGGAUUUGAUUAGGAUUUGGUUAGGAUUUGAAUAGAAUUUGAUUAGAAUUUGGUUAAAAUUUGUUAAGGUUUGACUAGGAUUUAUUUAAGAUUUGGUUAGGAUUUGAUUAGGAUUUGACUAGAAUUUUAUUAGCUUUUGACUAGGAAUAAAUUAAGAUUUUUAUUUUAAUAUUUUAUUAAAUUUUCUAUUUUAAUAUAUUUUAAAAUUUCUAUGUUAUUUCUUUAUGAUUCUUUAAAGGGUGUCUAGGAAUAAUUUGUGUUUUUUACAUUAUUCUUUUGAAAUUUUGAUUGAUAUUUGAUUAUAUUUGCUAAUCUUUAAUUAUAAAUUGUUUAAGAAUCUAUUAGAGUUAUUAAGACUUGUUGUUAUAAUUUUCUUUUUAUCUUCCACAAUUAGGUGCUCGAUG
rnacentral:lncRNA from 1 species